ensembl:lncRNA
CUCUCUCUGAAGAUUGCUCUUCUUGGAGUCUUUUCAGUGAGCCCAGGACACAGGCCAUUCUGGAAGUCACUCUGCUUGGUGCUCACUCUUUCCUCGUCUGCAGCUUUACUUGGAGCUCUGCACACUUUGUUCUUCAUGCCAGGAAAACCGUGCUUGCAUUUUGUGACAGGCCAACCAUGGAGAGCACCAUCAGGACACAGUAGUCCAGACAGCGUCCAGCUGAAUACUGCAGUAUUUUAAGGACUCUUUGGGAGCCUGAAGGUGCUGUGACAUUCUCCGAGGUGAUACAGAAAAGGUUAACUUGAAGAUCCUCACAUUGAGGGAUUUCCCUUUAAAAAAAAAAAAAAGAAAGAAAAAGAAAAAACUUUCCUGCAGAAAAAACUUACUUUGUGAAAUGCCAAUUCUUACCAUUAUCAUUCACGGAGAUGUCAAAAGUCAGCCACCCCUGCUUUUUGUUCUUUUGCAGCAGGUAUGCUUUCCUGGAUAAAUGCAAUGGAAAUUGUGAUAAAAUAUAUGGGUCAGAUAGGACAAUAGCCUACCCCUUUAGAAGGAGACCUGCAGAGGCCCAUGAGUCUCCUGAUUGGUUCCAGCACAGUAGAAACUCUCUUCCUUCUGCAAAUUUAGAGAUAAUUAGUCAAGGGAGGCUAGAUAUAUAAUUUUCCUCUUUGACGGAGUGUCAGCGCAGAAUACAGUGUCUACUCCAAAGUCUGACGAGUUUUUUCAUUAGAUUUAAUUGAUGUUUUUUCAUUAGAUUUUUUUCAAUAGAUUUAAUUGAUGUUUUGAAGAAGUCGCUUUGGGUUUUGGAGGUGAUCUGUUGAUUCUGCAAAGUUUAUAGGGAACAGAUGAAGCUUAGACUUACUCUUUGUGAAUUUCCUCAGUGCAGAGCUUCAGAAAAAGCUAUUUUCAGGAAAUAUUUUAAAUCAGUAACAUCUGUAAACCUUUUCUGGAUCACUUCAUUGCUAUCUAUAGCUAAGGAAUGAAGAAAGCGUAGUGGACCAAAUAACCCAGGCUGGAGGAGUCUUCCUGUACUCAGUAUCUCAGUAAGGUUGAUCAGUUCUCCAAGAAUUGAGAACCAAGUUUAGGGUACUUCAGGCACAAUUCAAUAGUCUCUGAUGUAGUCACUGUUACAGAUUUCUUCUACACAUCCACAAAAAUAGAACUUACUUUGACCAACCUUAUUCAUGUUAAUUCUCUUCUUGAACGUUUGUCCUUCAGUUUUUUUGUUUGCACGGAAAAAGCAGGACUCCACCAUAUGAAUGUAAAAAUAUUAUCUGAGAGCACUUAUUAUUUUAUAGCAUCAUUUUUUCCAUCCACAAUAUGAACACUUGCAUGCUACCCAUAUUUUAUCAGCAACUACUUUACAUUAACAUCUGCCCAGUAUUGCUCUCUGUUCCCCAAGGAAAUGUGGUUAUGCAGUUGCACUGCUGAUCUAUCCAUC